UACGAAGGGGGCUAGCGUUGUUCGGAAUUACUGGGCGUAAAGCGCACGUAGGCGGGUUGUUAAGUCAGGGGUGAAAUCCUGGAGCUCAACUCCAGAACUGCCUUUGAUACUGGCGACCUAGAGACUGGAAGAGGGUUAGUGGAAUUCCCAGUGUAGAGGUGAAAUUCGUAGAUAUUGGGAAGAACACCAGUGGCGAAGGCGGACUAACUGGUCCAG
rnacentral:rRNA from 1 species